rnacentral:rRNA from 1 species
UACGUAGGGUGCGAGCGUUAAUCGGAAUUACUGGGCGUAAAGCGUGCGCAGGCGGCGCGUUAAGACAGGUGUGAAAGCCCCGAGCUUAACUUGGGAAUUGCGCUUGUGACUGGCGGGCUGGAGUGUGGCAGAGGGAGGUGGAAUUCCACGUGUAGCAGUGAAAUGCGUAGAGAUGUGGAGGAACACCGAUGGCGAAGGCAGCCUCCUGGGCCAGCACUGACGUUCAUGCACGAAAGCGUGGGGAGCAAACAGG